UCAAAGGCUCUUUUUAGAGCCAACACCUUUUCACAUAAGUGGCUGU
rfam:Rattus norvegicus chromosome 17, whole genome shotgun sequence.